CCUACGGGUGGCAGCAGUGGGGAAUAUUGGACAAUGGGGGCAACCCUGAUCCAGCCAUGCCGCGUGUGUGAAGAAGGCCCUCGGGUUGUAAAGCACUUUCAGUGAGGAAGAACGCCUGGUGGUUAAUACCCAUCAGGAAAGACAUCACUCACAGAAGAAGCACCGGCUAACUCCGUGCCAGCAGCCGCGGUAAUACGGAGGGUGCGAGCGUUAAUCGGAAUUACUGGGCGUAAAGCGCGCGUAGGUGGCUUGAUAAGCCGGUUGUGAAAGCCCCGGGCUCAACCUGGGAACGGCAUCCGGAACUGUCAAGCUAGAGUGCAGGAGAGGAAGGUAGAAUUCCCGGUGUAGCGGUGAAAUGCGUAGAGAUCGGGAGGAAUACCAGUGGCGAAGGCGGCCUUCUGGACUGACACUGACACUGAGGUGCGAAAGCGCGGGUAGCAAACAGGAUUAGAUACCCGAGUAGUC
rnacentral:rRNA from 1 species